AUUGAACGCUGGCGGCAUGCUUUACACAUGCAAGUCGAACGGUAACAGGUUAAGCUGACGAGUGGCGAACGGGUGAGUAAUGCAUCGGAACGUGCCCGAUCGUGGGGGAUAACGCAGCGAAAGCUGCGCUAAUACCGCAUACGAUCUGAGGAUGAAAGCGGGGGACCGUAAGGCCUCGCGCGAUCGGAGCGGCCGAUGUCAGAUUAGGUAGCUGGUGGGGUAAAGGCUCACCAAGCCGACGAUCUGUAGCUGGUCUGAGAGGACGACCAGCCACACUGGGACGGAGACACGGCCCAGACUCCUACGGGAGGCAGCAGUGGGGAAUUUUGGACAAUGGGCGAAAGCCUGAUCCAGCAAUGCCGCGUGCAGGAAGAAGGCCUUCGGGUUGUAAACUGCUUUUGUACGGAGCGAAAAGGCUCUCUCUAAUACAGGGGGCUCAUGACGGUACCGUAAGAAUAAGCACCGGCUAACUACGUGCCAGCAGCCGCGGUAACAC
rnacentral:rRNA from 1 species